GCAAACAAAAGGAACGUAUACGAUCGAUAUGGAAAAGAAGGCUUAACUCCAGGGGGAGGAGGAGGAAGAGGACACUUUAAUAAUGACCACUUUGGAGGAUUCACAUUCCGCAAUCCAGAGGAUGUCUUCAGGGAAUUCUUUGGUGGACAAGAUCCAUUUGCAGACUUCUUUGGUGGAGAUCCAUUUAAUGAUGACUUCUUUGGUGGUCGGCGGCACCACCACCACCACCACCA